rnacentral:rRNA from 1 species
UACGUAGGGUGCGAGCGUUAAUCGGAAUUACUGGGUGUAAAGCGUGCGCAGGCGGCGCGUUAAGACAGGUGUGAAAGCCCCGAGCUUAACUUGGGAAUUGCGCUUGUGACUGGCGUGCUGGAGUGUGGCAGAGGGAGGUGGAAUUCCACGUGUAGCAGUGAAAUGCGUAGAGAUGUGGAGGAACACCGAUGGCGAAGGCAGCCUCCUGGGCCAGCACUGACGCUCAUGCACGAAGGCGUGGGGAGCAAACAGG